rnacentral:rRNA from 7 species
ACGGGUGAGUAAUGCCUAGGAAUCUGCCUGGUAGUGGGGGAUAACGUUCGGAAACGAACGCUAAUACCGCAUACGUCCUACGGGAGAAAGCAGGGGACCUUCGGGCCUUGCGCUAUCAGAUGAGCCUAGGUCGGAUUAGCUAGUUGGUGAGGUAAUGGCUCACCAAGGCGACGAUCCGUAACUGGUCUGAGAGGAUGAUCAGUCACACUGGAACUGAGACACGGUCCAGACUCCUACGGGAGGCAGCAGUGGGGAAUAUUGGACAAUGGGCGAAAGCCUGAUCCAGCCAUGCCGCGUGUGUGAAGAAGGUCUUCGGAUUGUAAAGCACUUUAAGUUGGGAGGAAGGGCAGUUACCUAAUACGUGAUUGUUUUGACGUUACCGACAGAAUAAGCACCGGCUAACUCUGUGCCAGCAGCCGCGGUAAUACAGAGGGUGCAAGCGUUAAUCGGAAUUACUGGGCGUAAAGCGCGCGUAGGUGGUUCGUUAAGUUGGAUGUGAAAUCCCCGGGCUCAACCUGGGAACUGCAUUCAAAACUGUCGAGCUAGAGUAUGGUAGAGGGUGGUGGAAUUUCCUGUGUAGCGGUG